GACGAACCGUGCGAACGUUGUUCGGAAUCACUGGGCUUAAAGGGCGCGUAGGCGCCUGCUAAGUCGGACGUGAAACUCCCUCGGCUCAACCGGGGAACUGCGUCCGAUACUGGCGAGGCUUGAAUCCGGGAGAGGGAUGUGGAAUUCCAGGUGUAGCGGUGAAAUGCGUAGAUAUCGUGAGGAACACCAGAGGCGAAGGCGGUUACCUGGACAAUUACUGACGCUCAGGCACGAAAGCAUGGGGAGCAAAAGGGAGUUAGAAACCC
rnacentral:rRNA from 1 species